AGGGGUGCAAAACCACACACGGUGUAG
rnacentral:piRNA from 1 species